rnacentral:rRNA from 1 species
AGAAUCAACGCUGGCGGCGUGCCUAACACAUGCAAGUCGCACGAGAAAGUGGAGCAAUCCAUGAGUACAGUGGCGCACGGGUGAGUAACACGUGAAUCAUCUACCUCCGAGUGGGAAUAACUGAGAGAAAUCUUAGCUAAUACCGCAUAACACUUACGAGUCAAAGCAGCAAUGCGCUUGGAGAGGAGUUCGCGGCAGAUUAGUUAGUUGGCGGGGUAAUGGGCCCACCGAAGACGAUGAUCUGU